rnacentral:rRNA from 1 species
UAGUGCGGGCGGUCUACCAUGCAGUCGAGCGGUAGCACAGAGAGCUUGCUCUCGGGUGACGAGCGGCGGACGGGUGAGUAAUGUCUGGGAAACUGCCUGAUGGAGGGGGAUAACUACUGGAAACGGUAGCUAAUACCGCAUAACGUCGCAAGACCAAAGUGGGGGACCUUCGGGCCUCAUGCCAUCAGAUGUGCCCAGAUGGGAUUAGCUAGUAGGUGGGGUAACGGCUCACCUAGGCGACGAUCCCUAGCUGGUCUGAGAGGAUGACCAGCCACACUGGAACUGAGACACGGUCCAGACUCCUACGGGAGGCAGCAGUGGGGAAUAUUGCACAAUGGGCGCAAGCCUGAUGCAGCCAUGCCGCGUGUGUGAAGAAGGCCUUCGGGUUGUAAAGCACUUUCAGCGGGGAGGAAGGCGAUAAGGUUAAUAACCUUGUCGAUUGACGUUACCCGCAGAAGAAGCACCGGCUAACUCCGUGCCAGCAGCCGCGGUAAUACGGAGGGUGCAAGCGUUAAUCGGAAUUACUGGGCGUAAAGCGCACGCAGGCGGUCUGUCAAGUCGGAUGUGAAAUCCCCGGGCUCAACCUGGGAACUGCAUUCGAAACUGGCAGGCUAGAGUCUUGUAGAGGGGGGUAGAAUUCCAGGUGUAGCGGUGAAAUGCGUAGAGAUCUGGAGGAAUACCGGUGGCGAAGGCGGCCCCCUGGACAAAGACUGACGCUCAUGUGCGAAAGCGUGGGGAGCAAACAGGAUUAGAUACCCUGGUAGUCCACGCCGUAAACGAUGUCGAUUUGGAGGUUGUGCCCUUGAGCGUGGCUUCCGGAGCUAACGCGUUAAAUCGACCGCCUGGGGAGUACGGCGCAAGGUUAAAACUCAAAUGAAUUGACGGGGGCCGCACAAGCGUGGAGCAUGUGGUUUAAUUCGAUGCACGCGAGAACCUUACCUGGUCUUGACAUCCACAGACUUUCAGAGAUGGAUGGUGCUUCGGACUGUGAGAAAGUGCUGCAUGCUGUCGUCAGCUCUGUGUGAAUGGUGGGUAGUCGCACGACGCACCUAUCUUGGUGGCACGGUAGCGGACUCAGAACUGCAAUGAUACUGAGAGGUGGAUGACGUCAGUCAUCAUGCUACGAACAGCUACACCUGCUACAAUGGCAUACAAAGAAUCGAACCUCGAGAAACUGACCUAAGAUGGCUAUCAGAUGAUCGCACUCUGAAUUUGAUCGAAUCGUA